rnacentral:rRNA from 1 species
UGUGACAACCAUGCCACCCUGAAUGUGUCCGAUCUCAUCUGAUUUCAGAAGCUAAGCAGGGUCGGGCCUGGUUAGUAACUGGAUGGGAGACCAUCUAAGAAUAUCACGUGCUAUAGGUGUUAUAA